rnacentral:rRNA from 1 species
GAUCAUGGCUCAGGAUGAACGCUAGCGGCAGGCUUAACACAUGCAAGUCGAGGGGCAGCAUAAUGGAUAGCAAUAUCUAUGGUGGCGACCGGCGCACGGGUGCGUAACGCGUAUGCAACCUACCUUUAACAGGGGGAUAACACUGAGAAAUUGGUACUAAUACCCCAUAAUAUCAAGUUUUUUUUUUUAAGGCAUCUUUUAUGGUUGAAAAUUCCGAUGGUUAGAGAUGGGCAUGCGUUGUA